rnacentral:tRNA from 1 species
UGCAUUGGCCGGGAAUCGAACCCGGGGCGCCCGCGUGGCAGGCGAGAAUUCUACCACUGAACCAAAGC